GCCUCCAGUGAUGAUAUCCUCAACCUCCCUCAGCUUUGUCGUCCCAAGUUUCUUUGUUCACUGUGUCUCAAGGUAAUCAGAGUUGGACUGGUUCUAGAUGCGCUGCCAGGCUGCAGAUUUGUGAAGGAGCUGCUGUGUCCAUCUGUGUCUGGUUCACCUGGAAUGAGAGCAGUUCACUGGAGCAACUGGAAUGAACAACCACACGCAAUCUGAGCAAAAGGACUCCCAGAGCUGUGGAGCAACUGUCAGGAAUACUAAGCACUUCCAGGUUGUCAUUCGACUGUGUCCUCAGGACCAGAGUCAAUUGCAGACAGAUGGGUCAAGAUACUCCAUCAGCGUGGCUGAACCGAGCAGGAUUGUUGUUGACACGGGCCGGUCUCUCGUGGGAUUCCUCUUGCAGGGCUACAAUGGCUGUGUCAUCGCAUAUGGCUCCCCUUGCAGUGGAAAGACUUACACAAUGAUGGGCCCCAGCUUCACUGGCACGAACCGAGGCAUCAUCAGCCGAGCAGUCGAAGACAUCUUUAACUCACCACAGGCAUCCAGUUGCAGAGUCAGAGUGUCCUUCUAUCACAUCUCAAAUGAGAAAAUAUAUGAUCUGUUGGACAACCAGCCAACAGAAGUGACUCGUAUCCAUGAUGGGGAGGAGGCAGUGGUGCUGGAGGGCUUGAAGGAGGUGGAGGUGAACUCCCUGCAGGACCUGAUUCAGCUGUAUCGGCGUGGGGCAGCCAACAGGCAGGCAGGUGUGAGCACUCAGCUUUACUCUACUCCUCCCUUAUGAAAAAAAUAUAUAUGAAAUAAAUAUGAAAUAGUGCAUUUCA
rnacentral:lncRNA from 1 species